GAUGAAGAACGCAGCGAAACGCGAAAUGUAAUGUGAAUUGCAGAACCCCCGUGAAUCAUCGAAUCUUUGAACGCACCUUGCGCCCAGGGGUAUUCCUCUGGGCAUGCCUGUCUGAGUGUCGCGCACCUCUCGAUCCGCCCCAUGCGGACUCGGACCGUGGCGGUCUUGGCCGCUUGGCCCCGCCGAAAUGGACACCGGGAGUUAUGUCAAACCGGCGUUGUAGACCCCUCGCUGGCGUGAUGUCCCUCAUAUAAUUAUCCUUUCGACCUCAGAUCAAGCAGGACUACCCGCUGAACUUAAGCAUAUCAAUAAGCGGAGGA
rnacentral:misc_RNA from 1 species